rnacentral:tRNA from 1 species
UGUUCUGUGGCGAAGUUAGUUAACGUACCCUGUCAAGUUAAUUGGGAGGCGUGUGUUCAAAUCCCACCAAAACAA